GUUUCACCAAAGGAGGUGGGGAAAGGCAGAGAGGCACACAAAGACUCUGUGAAGCAACAGUCACUCCCAGGGAGGACUGCCAAAGAGAAAACAGCCUCGCAGGCAGAGGAACUAAAUGUGGAGCGUGCAGUCAAACGGCACAGCAGAUAACUACUCUGCAACUGAAAACCACAACAAGUCGAGGAGAGGAAGGCCAAAACACGAGGAGCAACACAGAGAAGGAUUAAGAGCAGCAUUAAAUUGGUCAAAGGGAUUUGUUUUUUUGUGUCAUCUCACUUUUUUCCCCCACUCAGAGUAUCAUCAGUACCUGAGGAAUUAUCUGUCCUAAUCUAAAUCUCAUCCUGCUUAUCUCCGUCUGCUGGUCCCCUCCUCUCUCUGACGUUUUCAACAACAAACUGACUCUGGCACCUAAAACACUGAGCAGGUAACUCCUCCAGGGGAGACUUGUCAUGUUCAUCACUGUCUCCUCCUCAUCAACUGGUCUGCUUACUUCUGUUUUGUAGUUUUUGCCAGUCAGUCGGGGCUGGGCUGAGCGUGUGAAAGCAGCAAGCGAGACUCUCACGGGCAGGAUGGACGCCAGAGAGCAGACGCUGAGCAUCCUGAACAGGAUAUGGUUCAAGCUGCAUAAUCUGCCCAACGCCAACCCCAUAGAGCUGGGAGCCUUCUUCAUCCUCUUAACCUUCAUCUUGGUGGUCCUGCUCAUUACGGUGCUCACCUGCGUGAACUGCUGCUGCUGCUGCUGCUGUCGCAAGGCCAGGACAAAGGCAUCCAACAUUUGAGCGAAUGUGCUCCCCACGGGGGAAAUCUAACAUGACGAGACAACUGCUGGCUUUCUCUGCAGCUCUCACAAGCUUGAGCAAAUGAAAACUCCAAUAUUAUGCUCCUAUAUUAGACAUUUGAGCAAGCAACACAGCUUCAUACAGGGUGUGUUCAGUGGCACCAGAGGAGCCCAACCCUCGGAAAACAAAACAGCUGUCAAACACGGAGAAGGAUUUCAACCUGACACACCUGCCAAAGCUGCCAGGUUUUCAGGAGAAUCUACAUUCCUUGGAGCAUCCCUGCGCUUUACAGGGCAACAACAACACGUCUGACCUGAGGAAACCCCAAGUGUCUUUCAUAAUGCAAGCAAAUGCAUGGGGUGUGAGCUGUAAAAAAACUGCAGUGAGUUGCAUAAAGUGAGAUAUGAAGGGGAGAGCCAAAUUAGUUUGUAAAUGUUUUUCUAAACCUCAUUAUGUAUCAUUCUGAAGGAAUGAGAGUUGGCAGUCUGACAUAAAGUUAGGUAAGCUCAAAGUGUUCCUUUACACACUUCACAACAGAGAUCAAGUCUGCCCUCUGCUGUGCAAAAACCAAAAUGGACUAUUAUUUUGAAAAACAUGCAUGUAAUGAGAGAGAUGUUUAAUGUAUAAAACGGCAUGUUAUAUUAUGUGCAAUGGGUGGAAACAGUAUGUAAUCAUGUGAUGCUUUGACUUUUCUACACAAUAAACAAAAA